UACGGAGGGGGCAAGCGUUGUUCGGAAUCAUUGGGCGUAAAGGGCGCGUAGGCGGCCGGCCAAGUCGGGUGUGAAAUCCCUCGGCUCAACCGAGGAACUGCACUCGAUACUGGCUGGCUAGAGUCCGGGAGAGGUGAGUGGAACUGCGAGUGUAGAGGUGAAAUUCGUAGAUAUUCGCAAGAACACCAGUGGCGAAGGCGGCUCACUGGCCCGGUACUGACGCUGAGGCACGAAAGCGUGGGGAGCGAACAGG
rnacentral:rRNA from 1 species